rnacentral:rRNA from 1 species
UACGGGGGGGGCAAGCGUUGUUCGGAAUUACUGGGCGUAAAGGGCUCGUAGGCGGCCAACUAAGUCGGAUGUGAAAUCCCCAGGCUUAACCUGGGAACUGCAUCCGAUACUGGAUGGCUUGAAUCCGGAAGAGGGAUGCAGAAUUCCAGGUGUAGCGGUGAAAUGCGUAGAUAUCUGGAGGAAUACCGGUGGCGAAGGCGGCAUCCUGGACCGGCAUUGACGCUGAUGAGCGAAAGCUAGGGGAGCAAACGGG